rnacentral:rRNA from 1 species
CUACGGGACGCACCAGUGAGGAAUAUCGCACAAUGGGGGAAACCCUGAUGCAGCAACGCCGCGUGGAGGAUGACGCAUUUCGGUGUGUAAACUCCUUUUAUCAGAGAAGAAAAUGACGGUAUCUGAUGAAUAAGCUCCGGCUAACUCCGUGCCAGCAGCCGCGGUAAUACGGAGGGAGCAAGCGUUAUUCGGAAUCACUGGGCGUAAAGGACGCGUAGGCGGGUUUUUAAGUCAGGUGUGAAAUCCUAUGGCUCAACCAUAGAACUGCACUUGAAACUGGGGACCUAGAGUAUGGAAGGGGCAGGUGGAAUUAGUGGUGUAGGGGUAAAAUCCGUAGAUAUCACUAGGAAUACCGAAAGCGAAGGCGACCUGCUGGGACAUUACUGACGCUGAGGCGUGAAAGCGUGGGGAGCAAACAGGAUUAGAUACCCUAGUAGUC